rnacentral:lncRNA from 1 species
AAAAUAAUUUGACAGUCGAUUUGCUGACAGGGGAGGAAUUUGCAUCCUGGAUUUAAAAAAAAAAAAAAGGCCGAGAGGAGCUUGGGAACGGUUGCUAGGGGUGGGUAAUGGGUGAAAAAAGGGGGGUACCAAGCAGCGGAUAAGGAGGGUUAAGGGAGGGGGCGAGGAUGGGGAGCAAUGCAAAAGGUAAGGCCAGGUUGCCGCGGCUCGGCCCCGAGUGGGCUGCGGCCGGGGGAGGGGCGAGAGAUACAUAUGUAUUUCUGUCUCCCCAGCACACCCCCUUCCCUCUAAGCGAUGGCUGAGAGGCGGUGCAUGCAGAUGGGGAGUAAGUUUCCUGAAGGGGAGGGUGGAUGCACGCUCGCAGCCCGGCGCUGCAAAUUUCCACCGGGGAGGGAGAGCGGCUGGAUGCGGAGAGUUUGGAGUUGCUUGCGGCGGAGGGCAGGAAGGGGAGCAGGGCUGGGAAAGGGGGCUGGCGGGCGCUAUAUCUGGGAGUAAGUUUCCAGCAUCGGGAGAGCCUGCACGCUUGCUCACUACUCUGCUCGCCCCCCAUCCCAAACCCCAAGCGGAGACUGGUCUUUUCGUCGGAUUGUCCAUGCACUUGUUGCAGAAACAGCCAAGGCCCUGGCUGUGGAGGAUGCUGAAGGAAGAAGACGCAGAAGCAGGACAACCCUGAAAGACUGAGCCUCUUCAUCCUCAAGCAGGUAGCUUCUUGGGAAUUCUUGAUGUUGGAACAU